AGUGAACGCUGGCGGUAGGCCUAACACAUGCAAGUCGAACGGCAGCACAGUAAGAGCUUGCUCUUACGGGUGGCGAGUGGCGGACGGGUGAGGAAUACAUCGGAAUCUACUUUUUCGUGGGGGAUAACGUAGGGAAACUUACGCUAAUACCGCAUACGACCUACGGGUGAAAGCAGGGGAUCUUCGGACCUUGCGCGAUUGAAUGAGCCGAUGUCGGAUUAGCUAGUUGGCGGGGUAAAGGCCCACCAAGGCGACGAUCCGUAGCUGGUCUGAGAGGAUGAUCAGCCACACUGGAACUGAGACACGGUCCAGACUCCUGCGGGAGGCAGCAGUGGGGAAUAUUGGACAGUGGGCGCAAGCCUGAUCCAGCCAUACCGCGUGGGUGAAGAAGGCCUUCGGGUUGUAAAGCCCUUUUGUUGGGAAAGAAAAGCAGCAGGUUAAUACCCCGCUGUUCUGACGGUACCCAAAGAAUAAGCACCGGCUAACUUCGUG
rnacentral:rRNA from 1 species